rnacentral:lncRNA from 10 species
UUCCAAUACAAGGUUGAAUGAAACAGAAUCUUCUGGAGAGGAAAGAAGAAACCAUGUCUAGACAAGGUGCUGGAAAGACCCAGGGAAGACACAGGCUUUGGUAUCAGGAUGAUGCUGGCCUCACAAAAUGAGUUAGGGAGGAUUCCCUCUUUUUCUAUUGAUUGGAAUAGUUUCAGAAGGAAUGGUACCAGCUCCUCCUUGUACCUCUGGUAGAAUUCGGCUGUGAAUCCAUCUGGUCCUGGACUUUUUUUGGUUGGUAAGCUAUUAAUUAUUGCCUCAAUUUCGGAGCCUGUUAUUGGUCUAUUCAGAGAUUCAACUUCUUCCUGGUUUGGCCUUGGGAGGGUGUAUGUGUCGAGGAAUUUAUCCAUUUCUUCUAGAUUUUCUAGUUUAUUUGCGUAGAGGUGUUUAUAG